rnacentral:lncRNA from 1 species
GAUGGAUGGGUUGGAGAACCGAACUACGUAUAUAGAUCCGGGAGAAGAAAGGAGGAACCUUGGGAGGAAAAGGUGUCGGAUUUGGGCCUCCUAAUUCUAUUCCCAGUAGGAGCUGGGGCACAUCUCGGAGGACAGGAGGAGGUGGGAAUGGAGGGCGAAGGCUAUGGAGGAGGAGUGUGGGACGCUGGCCCNNNNNNNN